ACCCGCAACUAUAAAUUAUCAACCUCCUCCACUAUACAACCUCCCCCCAAACUUACUUCUCUCUUUCCUUGCAACUUCCUCAAACAAUAAAAACAACAACAACAACAACAUCGUAUAAGCAAGCGGCGAAAGUAGCACAAAGCAAACUAAAAGAAAAGGAAAAUGUCAGCAAAAUGCAGCAAAAUUCGCCACAUUGUACGGCUCCGUCAGAUGCUACGACGGUGGCGAAACAAAGCACGAAUGUCAGCUAAUCGUGCACCGUCCGAUGUACCAGCAGGACACGUGGCAGUUUGUGUAGGCGCUAACUACACCAGAUUUGUAGUACGCGCGACGUACCUGAACCAUCCUGUUUUCCAGAAGCUUCUAAUUCAAGCCGAAGAAGAGUACGGUUUCUCUAAUCACGGACCCAUUGCUAUCCCUUGUGAUGAAGCGCUUUUCGAAGAGGCUCUCCGCUUCAUUUCCCGCUCCGACUCCAGCCGCUAUGGUAAUAUCGACUUUGAAGAUUUUCAGAGCCGAUGCCACGUCGGAAUUAGAACUAACGUCGAUUUCUGGCCCGAAUCUCGACCGCUACUUCACGGUCUAACUGACAAAACCAUUUGGUAACGGUUCAACCCAACCAGACCGGUUCGAUGCGGUCCGGGUAAUGUUUGUUUAUUCUGCUAAUUAUUUGCUUUGCUGGCGUGUCUGAGAAAUUCACAAAUUGUGAAGGACCAUAAGGUAAUUUUGAAUUCGGUGCUGAUGAUUCGAUUCCUGUGGACGAGUUGGUUUUUGAGAGAAUUGGGAUUUUUACUUAAGACUCCACCAAGCAUUUAUUUACUUAUAGAAGGGAAAAAUUGUGGGUUUUACUUUUUUACCCCAAUUUUCCUUUUAAUAGUGUGAAUUGGAAAAUUUGAGCGAUGAGAUAUUUUUUAGGCCAUCUCAGUUGUAUUGUAUUUUAUUAUUUAUGUGCAUUAUAAUUUGCACUAUAGAAAAAUAAAACAAUUUUUACAAUGCUCCGAGGAAUGCUGAGGAGAUGGCUAAAACUGAGUCGUCCCGAGUUUGGAUCGGAGUGGAGGAGGCGAGUUGAUGAUCGAUCAUUCAAGCUGGGGAUAGGUUGCAAUGAGUUGUGGGAGUUAUAAUGAUACCAACCCACGUGAAAGUUAGAACAAAGUCUCUGCCCUCACUUGCUCUGAUUUCAUCUGAUUUUGUUUUGUCCCAUCCCAUCCCAAACAUCAACCUUCUAUCUCCGGUUUAUUAGGGUAAUUGUGUUCCUUCUAUAUUAACCUCUUACAUCUUAUAGAACUAAAAUUUAAUUUCUUUUGCGAGAUUUAUUAUUGUUUA